UUUAUUUUUAAUUUUGUUGAUUAUUUAUUUUAAUUAUAACUAACUAGCUAGGUCACGCAUUACUCCGAUCUCAGAAGCCAAUUGGUUUUUUAUACCAUCGAUAUUUGCAGAUACACAGCAUUUAUUAAUGGUAAUGAGGGACAUUGUUGUGAGUUUAUAAAUACAUUAAUGGCAAUACAGAAAGUAUAUCUAAUGAUAGUCAUAAUUGACAAAAAACACACUGUGACUGUGACAGCCAAAAUAAAACUUAUUAGCUACCUGUAUUUAUAAUCCAUUGUGUAUAAUACAUGUGUAUUAACUUAAAAAUUUGAAACUUUAAAUGUUUGUAUCUAAUAAACGAAUAAAUUUUUAUUAAACAUUAAAAUGCCAUUUAAUAUUAAAUUAUAAACUAACAUAUCACAUAACAUCGAAUCAAUACUCCAGCAUGUGACUCUGAGUACCGUCAAGUUUUCGAAGACCCCGUCUUUCGAAAGGGGGAACAUGUUUGAGAUAGACGAUAAGGCGUUUUUCAAUAUGUGAUAAUAAAUUAUUAAUUAAAAACAUAUCAUGUAUAAUUUCAAGCAAAUCUCUUCAAAAUAAGCAAUUGUUAAUACUUUAUUUUACAGGAGAACAAUUAGAAGAAUAUUAUUCAACAUGCGACCUUAGUGACGGAGAAGAAUUAGAAGGAUAUUUUUCACCAUGUGACUUUAGUGACG